AAAUUGUACUUAUUUCAAUCUCAUUGGCUAAAAUAUUAUUCAUUACAAUAACAAUGUCUUCAAAUGUUGGUAAUUAGAAAUAGAAUGACUAGAAAUGCAAUUGCAAUGACAGUUACAUCGCAGGUCUGACAACAAGGCAUGUUUAUUCUAGGCGAAUCUCUCUGCUCUAAUCUCUUCUUCAUUCCACGUUGCCAGCAGCAAUAACCACUUCAUCAACUCAGGAAAAUAGAGCUAUUCACAAAAAUAAACUUUUGCAACUUGCACUCCAAAAGCCUCAGCAAAUCCAACCAUGUUAUUCAACAUGAGAGCCGCUUGCAUCCUAUCACCUGUGAUUCUUAUUAUCUGUGUAAACUUUUCUAACGGAGGUUCUAUCUCUAAAAGUGAAAUGGGAACCAACAUCAAGGAUCAGUUGACCGAAAGGAGUAUUUGCAUCGAGGAUGCAAAUUGUUCCCUUCUAGAGUACUGUGAAUACGAAGAAUGUAAAAUGUACGGAUGGAUCAUCGCCGUGAUUGUCAUCGUCGUCUUGAUUAUUCUUCUGGCAAUAAUUGUGUGUUGUUGUCGCUGUUUCGCUUGUUGUUGCUUCAUGAUGCCCUGAAUGUUUCAUAGCAAAAGUGGUGGUCGUGACGAACCAAGCUGGCCGUCGGAAUUUUGUUAAAUGAGACCCUGUGAGACAUCACAAGUUAUGCAUACUUAAACUAGCUCUGCACAUAUUAUUACGCUAUAGUCAGAUUUUCAUCUAGAUCGUAAAAUAAAAAUAGUUAAUUAUGCUA